UCCGUCUACUUCCGCCGGAAGUGCCUCCGCCGCCAUGACGGUGCUGCCCUCUUCUACUUCCGCCGGAAGCACUGCUCACACCGGAAGCGCCGCCCCGUCGCCACGGCAACGCGGCUACCGCGCUGAGGGACGCUGGAGCGGUCUGGCCGCUGCGAGUUGUGCGGGGCGGCGGCGCGGCUGCGGUGUUCCCGCUGCCGCCUCACGUAUUACUGCGAUGUAGGUCAUCAGAAAGCCGACUGGGUUAGUAUCCAUGAGAAAAUAUGCCAGCUGCUGAUUCCAGUCCGCACAUCCCUCCCUUUUCUCACUUCUGAAGAAGAAAGAAAACACGGAGUGGAACAGCUGGUGAAGAGGCAGAUUCUGCAUCCAAACCGUCGGCCCUUCAAAGCCCAGAAUUGGCCAGCAGAGGGUGAGAGGAAGCUGCCAAGCCCCGGGGAUCGUGGCUGCUGUCCCACCCCGAAGCUGCCCUUCUCCGGGCUGAGGGGCAGUGUGCUGCAGCACAGCUCUCCCCUUACUUCCAGACAGUGUCUCCUGCAGCUGGAGAUGUGCCAUGCUGGCAACAGCCUGGCAAACCAUACGCUCUGCUGCCUGCUAUGAGUCACCGUUAUCGUCAGCGAAAUCCUGCUGUAACCCCUUUGUCUGAUCUUUUCUCUGGUCUUGUGAUGAUCGUUUUCUGUGCUUCACGGCCUUUAUUGCUACAACCUUGUUAGUCCUUUUUCAUGGGCCUGAAGGAUUCUUUGUCUCACAAGACACCACAUGACCUACGAGGAUGCCCAGAGCUGUUCUUACCAGAAGUAGGAAUGAAAUCCAGGCACUAAUAUGACAGCUUUAAUUUCCAUCUAUUAAUUACAGACACAAAUAAAAUUAUAAAGUGAUUGUUAACAGCGCAGACUGGAAUGUGGAAAGAGGCCAUGCAUAUUCUUUCUCCUUAUCCUUUGCUCACCUUGCCCCACUAUUGUUUUU